UCCGGUUUGUCACCGGCAGUCUCAUUAGAGUGCCCUUGCGUAGCAACUAAUGAUAAGGGUUGCGCUCGUUGCGGGACUUAACCCAACAUCUCACGACACGAGCUGACGACGGCCAUGCAGCACCUGUGUUCAGAUUCCCUUUCGGGCACCCUCACAUCUCUGCGAGGUUCCUGGCAUGUCAAGGGUAGGUAAGGUUUUUCGCGUUGCAUCGAAUUAAUCCACAUAAUCCACCGCUUGUGCGGGUCCCCGUCAAUUCCUUUGAGUUUUAACCUUGCGGCCGUACUCCCCAGGCGGUCAACUUCACGCGUUAGCUUCGUUACUAAGAGAUUUAACUCUCCCAACAACCAGUUGACAUAGUUUAGGGCGUGGACUAC
rnacentral:misc_RNA from 1 species